GCCCUGAGCUGUGGUUAAUAAAUCCGACUAGGAACCAUGAGGGUUCAAUCCCUGGCCUUGCUCAGUGGGUUAAGGAUCCGGUGUUGCCAUGAGCUGUGGUGUAGGUUGCAGACACGGCUUGGAUCCUGCCUUGCUGUGACUCUGGCAUAGGCGGCUACAAGUCCAAUUUGACCCCUAGCCUGGGAACCUCUAUAUGCUGUGGGAAGCGGCCCUAGAAAAGGCAAAAAGACCAAAAAAAAUUAAUGAUAAUAAAAUAAAAUGCACAUUGGGGAGUUCCUGUGGUGGCUCAGCGGGUUAAGAACCUGACUUGUAUCCUUGAGGAUGCAGGUUCCAUCCCUGGCCUUGCUCAGUGGGUCAGGGAUCCAGCAUUGCCCAUGAGCUGUGGUGUACGUUGGUGAUGCGGCUUGGGUCCAGGGUUGCUGUGGCUGUGGUAGAGGCCUGCAGCUAUAGCUCCAGUUUGAUCCCUAGCCUGGGAACUUCCAUGUACUGCAGGUACAGCCCUAAAAAGACAAAAACAAACAAACAAACAAAGAAAACAAACAAAAAACAGAAAUUCACAUUGGGGUUUAUUUUCCUCGGACCAGGUGCAUUAUUAUACUUCUUUUACAACAAAGGAAACUCCUUCGCCGGAGAUGGUGCCCCAGAGAAAUGGAUUGAACUGAAUUCUGCGGUAGGAAGAGCACCAAUCUUAUAGGCGUCCUUUGCUUCUUUCCUUCUGUCUUCCUCCCUCACCCUCACCCCCUUCAAGUCUAUUCUGUUAAUCUAUUGAUGUUGCCUUCAUAGGGUUUGACUGUGGGUUUCCAACUGCCCCUAGGGCACUCACAGACCUUUCUCGUUGUGAAACCAAAAACCACUCUCCCCGUCCUUCUGGCUCAUCCUGACUGCUCCUGUUGAAACACCUUGAAAUCCUCAGGCUUGUGAGGCCUCAGGUGGUUACUGAUCUUCAGCAUCUCAGAUAUCUGUAGAGGGAGCAUGAUCGUAGUACCUGGGAGUUGGGUUCUUUCGAGUUUUAGAUGAGUAUGUAAAGCUCUUCCAAACAGGCCAGAUAUAAGUAGGGGUUUUACUGUACAUACAGUGUUUUUGUUUGUUUGUUUGUUUUUCUUUUCUUUUCUGGCCACCCCAUGGCACGUGGAGUUCCUGGGCCAGGGAUCAGAUCCACAGCUGUGACCUAAGCUGCAACUGUGGCAAUGGCUGGGUCCUUAACCCACUAUACCAGGCUGGGAUUGAACCUGUGUCCCAGUGCUCCCAAGGUACUCCUGAUCUCGUUGUACCGCAUUGGGAACUCCCAGUGUUAGCUGUUUUUGUUCUUACUGUUCCUGCUCAUUCCCUCACUCAUGACCAAAACUCUCAAAUGCCGGGCAUCGGUUCCCCAGGAGCAUCUCGUGUGGCCUGAGUCUGGCCUCCCUUGGCCUGUGUCCCCCACCCCCCGCAUAGUCAUCUAUUCCAGCAGCUGGCCUGGCUGGGGGGCCCUCCUUCCUCUUAGAACUACAUUGUCCUUCUCAUCUGGGCUUCUUUCCUCUCGCUUUCCUUCCCCUAUUGUUGUGAUUAAUCCUCUAGCCCAUUUCUCCAGUUUCUGGGCUUGAACAAGUCCCCCUUGUCUGCUUCUCUUCCCCCUUGGUUGCCUCCAGCUCUCUUCCCCAUCCCUCCCUGUCUUUCUUCUGCUUUUUUCCUCCACCUUCCAUCUCCCCCAAUUCCCACCCCAUGUUUCCUUAUUAAAACAACUUAAACCUUGGGAGAAAGGUUGCAGUUUUAUCAUAUUCCUAGUGGUCUAGCAUACAGCAGGAGUGUGUGACCACCAGUGAGACUGAAAAUUUAUAGUAGCAAGAAUAGUAGGUUGAGAGGACCCGAAGGUACCUCAUCCUGACAAAUGUGCAAAGUAGAGGGUAAUAGAGUUUAUGAAACCUGCGUUGCUUCACAUAAUUCAAUGGUGGAGGGGCAGGAGUUAGAGGAAAAGGAUGAACAGAAGUACUUAGGGUAGAAACCUGCAGCAUGUAGUUUUUGCUUAAUGAUGCCAAAGAAAUUUCCUCUUCAUUUUUAUGGAAAAAACGUAUUUUAAAUUCUAGAAACUUCUACCUGCCUGUCUCUUUCGAUGUGUGCAUGUAUGUGUGUGAGUAUGUGUGAUGUGCGUUUGUAUUUUAAAACACAGUCAUUUACUAUGAAACUGCGGCAGUUAAAUAGUAUAUGUUGUCACUGCAAGGGAGAUAUUUUAAUACUACAUAUUUAACUGUUCUCAUGAAACACAAUCUACCGUUUUUGAAUAUGUUCCUUCCCUUUUGUGGCUUUUCACUCAUUUUACUCCAAAUUCCCUGUAAAUCUUACUAAGAAUGAAGGUAAAUUAAACAAGGCCCUGGUGUUUUGAUAGAUUUCUUCAAGAUCUGGUUCCCAGCUUUUAUUUACUCCUGGGUUUGUCUGAUAAAACCCUGGCAUGCUUAAAAAUUUUUUUUUUAAACUUCAUCUAAUAAUUGAUGAGACACUGAUGUUUGCAAUUGCACCAUAUCCAGAAUUGCAAGCGUAAGAAAAAAAUAAGGCUACAGGAGCAUUUUCCUUUAACAUGUUGGGUAAUAAUUCUUUCUUUUUGAAGUGAGUGGUGGCCUCUCUAGGAAGGAAACGGUGUUUCUCUGUGAGGCCAGGGCGAGGUCUCUUGGCUCCAAGAACAGAUGCUUACAAAUGAGCUCGUUGGCCUCCCCAGAUACUAGGAGAGGACUGAGGGUAAAUACAUACAGUCCCCCUUUUCCAACUGUCACCUUCCUUUCUGCCUUCAGUGCCCAUUGAUGUUGAGCAGGUGAGAGUGGAUAAAUAAUUUAUAUCAUAGUAUCCGCUUCAUCAGAAAUCCGUAAAGAUUUCUUGAAGGGUUUAGAUCUAAAAAUCUUUCUGAAUUAAGCCCUAAAUUAUUAAUAUUGUGAAACUAGGGUCUCUUUCUUGCCUGUGCUGUGUAUGCUGCUAUAUUUUGAAACGGAACGAUUCGUGGACCCCUCCACCUAUUGUUCCUCUUUUUUGGUCUAAUGCAGACAGCACAGAGGAAAUGGAAAGUUCUCAGCAUUUUUACAACCACUGCUAGAUGUCUUUUAUGGGCCUGAUAAAUUCAGUAGACAAAAUCAAAGUAGUUAGUCUCUUGGGCUUUAGUGUUCUCAUCUGUAAAAUCAGGAGAUGCACUGAAGAUUCUUUCUAGCUUUAGAUUGUGUAAUUCUUUCUUUCAGAAUUUGUGUGGAGUUUAUAACAUUGAUGGGAACUAAAGUUUAGGCCAGUAAAACAAGACAGAAAUCAGGUUCUCAGACACAGGGUGAUUUUUUCAGCCUAGUGUCUGCCAGUCCAAGCCUUGUUAUAACCACAGUGUGGCAAGAUCUGAUGUCCUAUUAUUAUUUCUUUCACUUGAGAAUGCUUCAGCUGCCGAGAUCUAUCAUAGAAGUUGUUACACUGUGAGUUUCCCCAUAUCCAUCAGAAGAAGAAAAUCCAUCAUGCUUUUGACUAGUUUUUCCUCUCCAAGAAAAUGAUGUUUAAGAGAAUGACAUGUAAUAUAGACUUAACUAUUCUUAAGGCAUUGAAGAAACUGCAUCUGAAAUAAAAUCAAUACAUGAUGCAGUAGUUUAUUUACAUUUAAAAUAUUGAAUGGCAAAGCGUUUUAUCAAAGACUUUGGGACCAAAUAUGCAUUCUAGAGCUACACAGAGUCAAAAGGAUAAAAGGUAGAAGAGAAAGCGGCAGAGUUACUGUGUAGUUGUGGUACAAUUACUCUGUGUAUCUCAACUACACUAACAACAGAAAUGUAGAUAUUAGGGUUGGUAUGUUUAGAGAUUUUUAAAUUUCAUCCUAUAAUAUUGAUUCAAGUUAUAAUAGUUACCAGGCAACUAAGAGGAACAAAAGCACAGUCUUACCCUUCAUAUUUCUAGUUUUAUUUUGCAUUGCAUUCUGUUUUAUAGGUAGGUGAAUAAAUUAUGUGUUGCUGUUACACCUUUUUAGAUAAGUCCUUUUUUUUAAUGUUCUGUAGCAGUUUAUAUAGCAUGGAAAUUACUCGUCCUUGAAAUUCAAAAUAAUUGGCCAAUAAAAUUGAAUGGGCACUGAGGUUUUUUUUUUAAUUGGUGUAAAUUACUUUAUGCAUUUCUUAAUUUCUUCUAUUUACUGGUUUCUUUUGAGAAUUGAAAUCUGUAUAGAGAACCAUCAGUUACUUUAAGAUUUUAAAAUUUUACCAUGAAUCAUUUUGCAAUAUGUGUAUGUAUUGAAUCAUUGGAUUGUGUUAAAUUUGCUCAAUGUUACGUGUCAAUUAUAUCUUAGUAAAGCUGGAAAAAAAGACCAGAAUUUGUCAGGAAAUUUUACAUUAGGUAACUGUAAUUUACUUAAUAAAAAUUUAGACAGUUUUUUUCUGAUUUUAUUUGUGUUUUCUCUUUUUCUUUGAUUAGAUCUGUUUAUUCUCCCCUCCACAAAAUCUAGCUCUUGGAUUCCUUUAUUUAUGCUGAUGCUUUUUGGUUUUCUGUUUACUUUUUGAUGGGAUCCUUAAUCUUCUCCUCCAGCUUUCCUAUUGUAUGUAUUUCAGUGGCUCCCAUUCUGAUAUAAGGAGGUCGACCUGAAACUCACCUGCCUGACACCCCCCCCCCCCCCCGCCCCCGCACUGGCCUCUUCUGUGGCUCUUGGUCUCCAUUCUCAUGAGGAAGGAUGUGAGAAUUCGUGGGCCUGUGUGUCUCUCUGGCUCUUCCUGUACAUUUUGCAUCACCUGGCUUCAACUCUCAGCACCAUUGCUGCUCCUAGGCUCAUAGUUUACAGCCGUUGUCACAGUGCUGGGUUCAAAAAGGGCAUGCCCUCCCCUUUAUCACCCUAGUCUGAGCUUGGAUGGAGACCCCUCCCCUAGUUCCUCAAAGAUUUCUAAAUUGAGGCUAUAACAUUUAACAUGACUUGAUCAAAGUUUAGGCUAAUUGGAGAGAACUGUAGCCCAGAAUUAGCUGCAAGAUAUGACGAUUAUGGGGCUUCACGUGAGGUUGGAUUUUAGGCUUGAUGUGUCUCCAUGGGGUGGAAGUCAGUGUUCUCCACCAUCCUUGUACCUAUAAGUGAAUCUAUCCACUUGAGAGUUCAGGCCAAAGUCUCCCUCGAAUUAGAGAAAAAAAGGGAGUUUUAUUCUCAGCCUAAGACCUUUCUUUCUUGAUUUCCCCUUUUAGGAUCUACCUCUUCCCAGGAUGACUGAUGGAAAGAAUAUUCAGUUCCAUCAAAGGAACCAUCCAGCUUACCCAGAGUGUUAGUCCCUUAACCUAUAGCAGCUCUAGCCAGACAACCACAGAACCCAGUGGUCCAGACAUUUUUAGCUUUGUGGACACAGGCUUUGAGUCAUCUGUGAACACUAUGAAACUGUGUGUAAAAUUUUUUUCUGGGGAGCAGAUUUACAGCAUUUAUCAGAUUAUUACAAUGAUCUGGCAUCUCCCCUAAAGAUUAAGAAUCACUUCAGGCGUUCCAUUUGUGGCUCAGUGGUUAACGAAUCCAACUAGGAACCAUGAGGUUGCGGGUUGGAUCCCUGGCCUUGCUCAGUGGGUUGAGGAUCCGACGUUGCCAUGAGCUGUGGUGUAGGUUGCAGACACGACUUGGAUCCUGUGUUGUUGUGGCUCUGGCGUAGGCUGGCGGCUAUAGCUCCGAUUAGACCCCUAGCCUGGGAACCUCCACAUGCCUCGGGAGUUGGUCCAAGAAAUGGCAAAAAGACAA
rnacentral:lncRNA from 1 species